rnacentral:rRNA from 1 species
AACGCGAAGAACCUUACCUGGGUUUGACAUACACCGGAAGCAUGUAGAGAUAUGUGUGCCCUUGUGGCCGGUGUACAGGUGGUGCAUGGCUGUCGUCAGCUCGUGUCGUGAGAUGUUGGGUUAAGUCCCGCAACGAGCGCAACCCUUGUCCCGUGUUGCCAGCGGGUUAUGCCGGGGACUCGCGGGAGACCGCCGGGGUCAACUCGGAGGAAGGUGGGGACGACGUCAAGUCAUCAUGCCCCUUAGUCCAGGGCUUCACACAUGCUACAAUGGCCGGUACAGAGGGCUGCGAUGCCGUGAGGUGGAGCGAAUCCCUUAAAGCCGGUCUCAGUUCGGAUCGGGGUCUGCAACUCGACCCCGUGAAGUUGGAGUCGCUAGUAAUCGCAGAUCAGCAACGCUGCGGUGAAUACGUUCCCGGGCCUUGUACACACCGAUAGC